rnacentral:rRNA from 1 species
GUGUCAGCCGCCGCGGUAAUACGGAGGGUGCAAGCGUUAUCCGGAAUCACUGGGUUUAAAGGGUGCGUAGGUGGCAUCGUAAGUCAGAAGUGAAAGUUUGCGGCUUAACCGUAAAAUUGCUUUUGAUACUGCAAUGCUUGAAUCAGGUUGAGGUUGGCGGAAUGUGGCAUGUAGCGGUGAAAUGCUUAGAUAUGCCAUAGAACACCGAUUGCGAAGGCAGCUGACUGGACCUGUAUUGACGCUGAGGCACGAAAGCGUGGGGAGCGAACAGGAUUAGAAACCCGCGUAGUCC